GGAUUAGAUACCCUGGUAGUCCUAGCCGUAAACGAUGGGCACUGGGUAGGGGGGGUGUCAAUUCCCUCCUUGCCGAAGCUAAUGUGAUAAGUGCCCCGCCUGGGGAGUACGGUCGCAAGACUAAAACUCAAAGGAAUUGACGGGGGCUCACACAAGCGGUGGAGCAUGUGGUUUAAUUCGAAACAACGCGAAGAACCUUACCCGGGUUUGAAAUCCUUGGAUGCCUCCUGUGAAAGCAGGUCGGGUUGCCCUUCGGGGUGAAACUUGGACAGGUGUUGCAUGGCUGUCGUCAGCUCGUGCCG
rnacentral:rRNA from 1 species